UAAUACCCGAUGUGCCGAGAGGUGAAAUAAUUGGCCUGAGGAUGAGCUCGCGUCUGAUUAGCUAGUUGGUGGGGUAAGAGCCUACCAAGGCGACGAUCAGUAGCUGGUCUGAGAGGAUGAUCAGCCACACUGGGACUGAGACACGGCCCAGACUCCUACGGGAGGCAGCAGUGGGGAAUUUUCCGCAAUGGGCGAAAGCCUGACGGAGCAAGACCGCGUGCGGGAGGAAGGCCUUUGGGUUGUAAACCUCUUUUGAUAGGGAAGAACACAAUGACGGUACCUAUGGAAUCAGCCUCGGCUAACUCCGUGCCAGCAGCCGCGGUAAUACGGAGGAGGCAAGCGUUAUCCGGAAUUAUUGGGCGUAAAGCGUCCGUAGGUGGUGAUUCAAGUCUAUUGUCAAAGCAUGAGGCUUAACCUCAUACCGGCAGUGGAAACUGCAUAGCUAGAGUGCGAUAGGGGCAAGGGGAAUUCCCAGUGUAGCGGUGAAAUGCGUAGAUAUUGGGAAGAACACCGGUGGCGAAAGCGCCUUGCUGGGCCUGCACUGACACUGAGGGACGAAAGCUAGGGGAGCGAAAGGGAUUAGAUACCCCAGUAGUCC
rnacentral:rRNA from 1 species